rnacentral:rRNA from 1 species
AUUGAACGCUGGCGGCAGGCCUAACACAUGCAAGUCGAACGGUAACAGGAAGCAGCUUGCUGCUUCGCUGACGAGUGGCGGACGGGUGAGUAAUGUCUGGGAAACUGCCUGAUGGAGGGGGAUAACUACUGGAAACGGUAGCUAAUACCGCAUAACGUCGCAAGACAAAGAGGGGGACCUUCGGGCCUCUUGCCAUCGGAUGUGCCCAGAUGGGAUUAGCUAGUAGGUGGGGUAACGGCUCACCUAGGCGACGAUCCCUAGCUGGUCUGAGAGAAUGACCAGCCGCACUGGAACUUGGACACGGUCCAGGCGCCUACGGGAGGCAGCAGUGGGGAAUAUUGCACAAUGGGCGCAAGCCUGAUGCAGCCAUGCCGCGUGUAUGAAGAAGGCCUUCGGGUUGUAAAGUACUUUCAGCGGGGAGGAAGGCGAUAAGGUUAAUAACCUUGUCGAUUGACGUUACCCGCAGAAGAAGCACCGGCUAACUCCGUGCCAGCCGCCGCCGUAAGAC